rnacentral:misc_RNA from 1 species
CCGAGUUUACAACUCCCAAACCCCUGUGAACACACCACUUGUUGCCUCGGCGGAUCAGCCCGCUCCCGGUAAAACGGGACGGCCCGCCAGAGGACCCCUAAACUCUGUUUCUAUAUGUAACUUCUGAGUAAAACCAUAAAUAAAUCA